UAACACGUGGGUAACCUGCCCUUGAAGUAGGGGAUAACACUUGGAAACAGGUGCUAAUACCGUAUAACAACCAAAACCACCUGGUUUUGGUUUAAAAGACGGCUUCGGCUGUCACUUUAGGAUGGACCCGCGGCGUAUUAGCUUGUUGGUAAGGUAACGGCCUACCAAGGCGAUGAUACGUAGCCGACCUGAGAGGGUAAUCGGCCACAUUGGGACUGAGACACGGCCCAAACUCCUACGGGAGGCAGCAGUAGGGAAUCUUCCACAAUGGACGAAAGUCUGAUGGAGCAACGCCGCGUGAGUGAUGAAGGGUUUCGGCUCGUAAAACUCUGUUGUUGGAGAAGAACAGGUGUCAGAGUAACUGUUGACAUCUUGACGGUAUCCAACCAGAAAGCCACGGCUAACUACGUGCCAGCAGCCGCGGUAAUACGUAGGUGGCAAGCGUUGUCCGGAUUUAUUGGGCGUAAAGCGAGCGCAGGCGGUUUUUUAGGUCUGAUGUGAAAGCCUUCGGCUUAACCGGAGAAGUGCAUCGGAAACCGGGAGACUUGAGUGCAGAAGAGGACAGUGGAACUCCAUGUGUAGCGGUGAAAUGCGUAGAUAUAUGGAAGAACACCAGUGGCGAAGGCGGCUGUCU
rnacentral:rRNA from 1 species